rnacentral:rRNA from 1 species
AACGGGUGAGUAACACGUGGGUGACCUGCCCUGCACUUCGGGAUAAGCCUGGGAAACUGGGUCUAAUACCGGAUAGGACCGCACCGUGAGGGUGUGGUGGAAAGUUUUUUCGGUGUGGGAUGGGCCCGCGGCCUAUCAGCUUGUUGGUGGGGUAAUGGCCUACCAAGGCGGCGACGGGUAGCCGGCCUGAGAGGGUGGACGGCCACAUUGGGACUGAGACACGGCCCAGACUCCUACGGGAGGCAGCAGUGGGGAAUAUUGCACAAUGGGCGGAAGCCUGAUGCAGCGACGCCGCGUGGGGGAUGACGGCCUUCGGGUUGUAAACUCCUUUCACCAUCGACGAAGGGUUUCUGACGGUAGAUGGAGAAGAAGCACCGGCUAACUACGUGCCAGCAGCCGCGGUAAUACGUAGGGUGCGAGCGUUGUCCGGAAUUACUGGGCGUAAAGAGCUCGUAGGUGGUUUGUCGCGUCGUCUGUGAAAUUCCGGGGCUUAACUCCGGGCGUGCAGGCGAUACGGGCAUAACUUGAGUACUGUAGGGGAGACUGGAAUUCCUGGUGUAGCGGUGAAAUGCGCAGAUAUCAGGAGGAACACCGGUGGCGAAGGCGGGUCUCUGGGCAGUAACUGACGCUGAGGAGCGAAAGCAUGGGGAGCGAACAGGAUUAGAUACCCUGGUAGUCCAUGCCGUAAACGGUGGGCGCUAGGUGUGGGUUUCCUUCCACGGGAUCCGUGCCGUAGCUAACGCAUUAAGCGCCCCGCCUGGGGGAGUACGGCCGCAAGGGCUAAACUCAAAGGAAUUGACGGGGGCCCGC